GGGUGCUGUUCCUCAUGGCCAAGAGCGGCUACCAGCCCCCCAAGCUGAAGGACAAGGCCAAGUGGUCUCCCGCCUUCCACAACUUCGUCAAGGUGACGCUCACCAAAAAUCCCAGGAAACGGCCCAGCGCUGCCAAGAUGCUCGGCCACCAGUUCGUGGCCCAGCCAGGCCUGAGCCGGAGCCUGACCCUGGAGCUGCUGGAAAAGGUCCGGGAUCCCGAGCGGCUCCUGGGGGG